UCGGCAACAGCUUGUUUGACAGGGUAGUUUCUUCUUCAGCACCUUCUCGUACACCGUUUAUACACACUGUUUCAGCUUCCAUUAACUUUGACUGCUGGUGACGCCAGAACUCCACAUCCCACAUAUUUUAUUAUGUAUUAGACCCAGAAGUUUCUACUUGUUCGUCUUGUUAUGGUAAAUGUCUUACGAGCAUGAGGUAAAUUUAUCCGCAAAAAAAAAGAAGAACAUUUACACAGGGUGGUUUCAAGUUGGAAUUACUGGAUCAAGACGAGCGCCUUUUGGAGGAUUUAACACCCACGACUGCUGAAACCAAUUAUAUAGGUUCCGAAGACUCAACGUGUCUGUAGCUCACAUAAAGCGUGUUAC